rnacentral:rRNA from 1 species
AUUGAACGCUGGCGGCAUGCCUUACACAUGCAAGUCGAACGGCAGCACGGGAGCAAUCCUGGUGGCGAGUGGCGAACGGGUGAGUAAUAUAUCGGAACGUGCCCAGUCGUGGGGGAUAACGUAGCGAAAGCUACGCUAAUACCGCAUACGAUCUGUGGAUGAAAGCGGGGGAUCGAAAGACCUUGCGCGAUUGGAGCGGCCGAUAUCAGAUUAGGUAGUUGGUGAGGUAAAGGCCCACCAAGCCGAAGAUCUGUAGCUGGUCUGAGAGGACGACCAGCCACACUGGGACUGCGACACGGCCCAGACUCCUACGGGAGGCAGCCGUUGGGAAUUUUGGACAAUGGGCGCAAGCCUGGUCCAGCAAUUCCGCGUGCAGGAUGAAUGCUUUCGGGUUGUAAACUGCUUUUGUACGGAGCGAAAAGGCUUCCACUAAUACUGGGGGCUCAUGACGGUACCGUAAGAAUAAGCACCGGCUAACUACGUGCCAGCCGCCGCCGUAACAC